rnacentral:rRNA from 1 species
GAUGAACGCUGGCCGCGUGCCUAAUACAUGCAAGUCGAGCGAACAGACGAGGAGCUUGCUCCUCUGACGUUAGCGGCGGACGGGUGAGUAACACGUGGAUAACCUACCUAUAAGACUGGGAUAACUUCGGGAAAACGGAGCUAAUACCGGAUAACAUGUUGAACCGCAUGGUUCAACAGUGAAAGACGGUUUUGCUGUCACUUAUAGAUGGAUCCGCGUCGCAUUAGCUAGUUGGUAAGGUAACGGCUUACCAAGGCAACGAUGCGUAGCCGACCUGAGAGGGUGAUCGGCCACACUGGAACUGAGACACGGUCCAGACUCCUACGGGAGGCAGCAGUAGGGAAUCUUCCGCAAUGGGCGAAAGCCUGACGGAGCAACGCCGCGUGAGUGAAGAAGGUCUUCGGAUCGUAAAACUCUGUUAUUAGGGAAGAACAAAUGUGUAAGUAACUAUGCACGGCUUGACGGUACCUAAGCAGAAAGCCACGGCUAACUACGUG